GCCCCGGUGGCCUAGUCUGGAUAGGGCGCGGGCCUCCGGAGCCCGAGGUCCCGGGUUCAAGUCCCGGCCGGGGCG
rnacentral:tRNA from 2 species